CUUAAAGAUGUUGUUGUUUCAGGUCUGAGUCAAAAGUGUUUGGCAGAGAUGCAAGCCUUUCCAAGCAGACAAGUUCACUGUUCACCUGUAAUGUUCAUUCUUGUCUGCCAAUCUAAAGGUCUCCCAUCUGCCCAUCAGACUUGACAGAGUCAAACAAAACAAAAACUGGUGAAUUUCUUCUAAGAAAUGUAAAUGCCUCCAGCCAAGUAUGGGAAAGAGCUUCUGAAAUGUCUUCAGGGAUUUUACAUUCUGUAGCUGGCAAAACAAGUCCCCAUUUAAAUACUAAGCUUACUACCCUAAUGACUGUGAAGUACUUGUUCCCUGGAACUGCACCUGUUCAGCAUGACACCCUGCUUUGCUGGCGAUGUCACAUGCAGCACGGACUAUAAUUGGAGAAUGAAACCUGUCUGUGGGGGCAAGUCUGCAGUCGCCCGGCUGGUGGUGUAGCACAGACAGAGCAAGGGUUACAUCAAGGCUGUUCUCUGGACCGUGCAAACAGUCUAGACCAAUGACCUGCAGCAUCAUGCCCUUUGAAGAAGAGGCAAGUUCGGUCAUGAUGAAGAAAAAUCAAGGCGUACCCCUUUUAACAAUAGGGAGCAGCUCGUGGCUGCAAAGAGGUAAGCAGGGGUAAGCGAAAAAGGCAUCUGCUUCCAUGGUUACAGGCCAACUAUGAGAACCUUGCUUUUCAAGAGAGACUGUUCUCAUGCUCCCUCACAGGCUAUAUCAUGCAUUAUAAGUAAAGGAAGGUUGAGCUGAAAUCCACAUAGUUAUUUCAGAGUAAAAUGAUACGCGGGCACAUGGCUGUUAGCAAAAAAAAAAGUCACAU
rnacentral:lncRNA from 1 species